AUGUAGAUUCCUAUAACGUUAAUGCGUCAUAUCCCAUUAGAACUCCAUAGUUAAGCAUGCUUGGAGUAGAGUAGUAGUAGGAUGGGUGAUUGCCCGAGAGGUCCUAAUGUUUUACAUG
rnacentral:rRNA from 1 species